rnacentral:rRNA from 1 species
CCUACGGGUGGCAGCAGUGGGGGAUAUUGGACAAUGGGGGGAACCCUGAUCCAGCGACGCCGCGUGAGUGAAGAAGUAUCUCGGUAUGUAAAGCUCUCUCAGCAGGGAAGAAGAAAUGACGGUACCUGAGUAAGAAGCCCCGGCUAACUACGUGCCAGCAGCCGCGGUAAUACGUAGGGGGCAAGCGUUAUCCGGAAUUACUGGGUGUAAAGGGAGCGUAGACGGUGAUGUAAGUCUGGAGUGAAAGGCGGGGGCCCAACCCCCGGACUGCUCUGGAAACUAUGUGACUGGAGUGCAGGAGAGGUGAGCGGAAUUCCUAGUGUAGCGGUGAAAUGCGUAGAUAUUAGGAGGAACACCAGUGGCGAAGGCGGCUCACUGGACUGUAACUGACGUUGAGGCU